rnacentral:rRNA from 1 species
AGAGUUUGAUCAUGGCUCAGGACGAACGCUGGCGGCGUGCCUAAUGCAUGCAAGUCGAGCGACGCACACCGGAGGGGUAACCCACCGGUAUGACGGAGCGGCGAACGGGUGAGUAACACGUGAGCAACCUGCCCCACAGAUCGGGAUAGCCCAGGGAAACCUGGAUUAAUACCGAAUAUCCUCGAGUAACCACAUGAUUGUUCGAGGAAAUGCCUUUGUGCUGUGGGAUGGGCUCGCGGCUUAUCAGCUAGUUGGUGGGGUAACGGCCUACCAAGGCAUUGACGAGUAGCUGGUCUGAGAGGACGAUCAGCCACACUGGGACUGAGACACGGCCCAGACUCCUACGGGAGGCAGCAGCAGGGAAUCUUGCGCAAUGGGCGAAAGCCUGACGCAGCAACGCCGCGUGGGGGAUGAAGGCCUUCGGGUUGUAAACCCCUUUCAGGAGGGAAGAAAUGACGG